AGGAAUGCUGCUGUAAAUUUCGUUGUGCGUGCACAAUGACAAUAAAAAUGCUUAUGCUUAUGCAACCCUGCACUGCUGUGUCUCAGCCACGGUCACGGUCCCUUUCCUGCUAUCUGGUAAGGCAGGGGCAGAGGGGCAGGCCUCUCUUCUGAGCCGCUGCAGGGAUACGUACUGCCAAUUUGGGAGGUUGUAACCAUCUUUUUCCUGGCCAGGGAAGACAUAACGUACCGGCUGCCGGAACUCGACCAGCGAGGCUCUGAUGAGGAGAACCUCGACUCGGAGACCUCGGCCAGUGCUGAGUGCCUGCUGGAGGUGCGGGGCGGUCAGGAGGAGCACGCCGCUCAGCACUGAGUGCCUUCGUCCAGCCGCCGGAGAUUCGAUGGGCUCGUCGAGCGUUUUGCAGCUCCCAGCCACGGCAAACCGCUUUCCCUCCGCUUCGGUCACAAGGCACUGGCGGUCUUCCCUGACCCCCUGAGGGGAGAGCGCUUCGGCAAACUCCGGCGACGUCCGCAGCUAUUCUCGGAGGGUCUCUGGGGCUGCCGAGCUCGACGAGGACCUCUCGGCACGACGCUGCCUCUUCUGGCUGAGCCGGCAGUGGGGGGCGGGAGAGGGCCUGUGGGUGGACAGGAAGGGCGGCCUCCAUGUAGGUUACACGUGGAUCACCCGCAGGAGCCGCCAGACGGCUGCACACGUGAGCCCUGGGAAAGCCCCUCUGCCCCCUUUGCUGGCAGGCGAGCCUGGUACUUGGGAGUGGUUUUGUUGGGCAGGAAAGGUCCUGGCUGUGUGCGCUGCACAGCCCUUCAGGAAAGCCAACUGGACUCACCCAGCUUCGCGCUUUCUCUCGUGCCCUGGCUUGCAGCAGCAGUAGCAGACCCCCGCGGGGCUGAAAGGAGGCCCGCGGGGGCAGUGACUGUUUUUGCUUUAACUCUUCUCAACUUGCUCAGUCCUCUUUUUCGAUGACAUUCCAGGUGGUUUACAGAAAUUCAAUUUUGUAACGGCCAUUUGAUCGACGGAGACCAAAAAUAUAUCUUGUUGUUUAUACUAAUACAUUGCACUUUUUUGGAAAAAAAAAUACACUGCUCGUGCCUCGUCCUU